UGGAUCCAGACUUUGAUCCUGGCUCAGGAUGAACGCUGGCGGCGUGCUUAACACAUGCAAGUCGAACGGACUUAUGUGAGCUUGCUCAUAUAAGUUAGUGGCGGACGGGUGAGUAACGCGUGGAUAACCUACCUUAUACAGGGGGAUAACAGUUAGAAAUGACUGCUAAAACCGCAUAAGACUACAGUAUCGCAUGAUAGAGUAGCCAAAGUAUGAAAAUAGGUAUGAGAUGGGUCCGCGUCUGAUUAGCUAGUUGGAGUGGUAAAGGCAGACCAAGGCAAUGAUCAGUAGCCGGCUUGAGAGAGUGAACGGCCACAUUGGGACUGAGAUACGGCCCAGACUCCUACGGGAGGCAGCAGUGGGGAAUAUUGCACAAUGGAGGGAACUCUGAUGCAGCGACGCCGCGUGAGUGAAGAAGUCAUUAGUGAUGUAAAGCUCUAUCAGUAGGGAAGAGAUAGGACGGUACCUAAGGAAGAAGCACCGGCUAAAUACGUGCCAGCAGCCGCGGUAAUACGUAUGGUGCAAGCGUUAUCCGGAAUUACUGGGUGUAAAGGGAGCGUAGGUGGCAAGGCAAGUCUGAUGUGAAACCCCAAAGCUUAACUAUGGGAAUGCAUUGGAAACUGUCUAGCUAGAGUGUAGGAGAGGUAAGCGGUAUUCCUAGUGUAGCGGUGAAAUGCGUAGAUAUUAGGAGGAACAUCGGUGGCGAAGGCGGCUUACUGGACUAUAACAGACACUGAGGCUCGAAAGCGUGGGGAGCGAACAGGAUUAGAUACCCUGGUAGUCCACGCUGUAAACGAUGAAUACUAGGUGUUGGGGAGCAAAAGCUUUUCGGUGCCGCAGCAAACGCAAUAAGUA
rnacentral:rRNA from 1 species